rnacentral:lncRNA from 1 species
AAUUAUGACAACCACGAAUAUUCUAAUAAUACUAUUAAUAACAAUUCUAAUAUGGAUAUGUCACCUUAUAACAACAUCAACCGUUUUGACGAAUAUAACAAUCCCAAUAAUUAUUAUAAUAAUAACAACAUAAGUAAUAGGAACAAUUCAGGUGGUAGUUUAAAUGAUUAUAAUAUGGUUAAUACCAAUGUGAACGAUCCAAUGACGUAUGCACAAGCUCAAACACACGUGAACGCCAACAUGAACCAAAAUAUAAACACACUUAAAAAAGAUAACAACAUUGUACUACCAAAAAAUAUACAACAAAAUGUUUCACCAAGUAAUAUAUAUAAUCCAAAUGUUUGUCCACCCCCACCUCAUCCUACAUUACUUACCAACACAACUAGUAGUGAUAAUUAUGCUGGUCCUCCUAUUACUCCAAUGACUCCAAGUAGUUCAACUACGAAUGUCCAUAAUAUGAAAAACAAUAUAACAGACAGGCAUAGUACGGUAUCAUCACCAUAUGAUAAUAGUAAUAAUUAUAAUAAUAUGUUGAUGCAAAAUAGAAAAAAUAAUACAUCAGUUAUGCCACAUGGUCAUAAUUUUGCUCCUAUUGGAACUGGACCGAAUGCAGGACAAAUGAACCCACCAACAUCACCUAUUACACGUGAACAGAAUAAUUUACAUCUAAAUGCAAAUGUGCCACCACCACAAAAAAUGACAAAUCAAGUAGCACCUCCCAUGUCACAAGGACCAAGUAAUAAGCCGAACAUACAAGCACAACAAAAUGUACAUACUCCUAAUAUACAAAACUAUCCUCAAACAUCACAUGAUUCUUUUCCUAAGUCAUACACAACUGCAUUACAACCACCUGCUUCAAAUUAUUAUAAUGUUAAAAAUAAUAUAACAGCUAAAUCAGGUACAUCUCAAAUAACACCUCCAAGUGUUCCUGCACAUGUUAAUAAUAAAGUUCCUUUUAAUAUUCAAACUAUGAAUAAAGGAUAUUAUGCUGAACAAGAUUUUACCCCAGGUAAUUCUGCAACAAAUAAUACUACACCAUCAUCACCAGUUAAUAUGGGUCCUCCUCCUUUAUCUCCUCAUCACGCACCACCAUCACCGUCUCCAUUUACCUCUUCACAAACUCAGUCAACUGGUAAUACUAACAUGUCCUUAGGAAUAAAUAAAAACACACCAUUUCAAAAUUAUAAUCCUAACCCUAUGAGUCCAACACAUGUUGUACCACCCCCAUUACCAAAUCAAAAUUUAAUGCACCCAAACAAACAAAUGAAUGCAAGUAUUUACAAUUCAUAUAAUUAUUCUCAACCUCCACAUGCUGCAACAAACAUGAUGGGUAAUAAUCCGAACGUACAACAAAGUAACGUGCAAUAUGGUAGUGCUUACCCAAGCUAUAAUGCGCCACCCCAAUAAAAAAAUGUAGGCGCAUAUGUACUACAUAUAAAUAUAUAUAAAUAUACAUAUAUAUAACAGAAAAAAAAAAAAAAAAAAAAAAAAGUUUUAUGAUUUUCUGUAAUGAUUAAUUUUUUUUUUUUCUUCCAUUACAAAAUGGUAGCUAUUAUAGACAAGUAUUGUUUAUUUAAGAUCUGUGCAUGUUUACAUUACAUAUGUU